AUACCUUUCUCGGCCUUUUGGCUAAGAUCAAGUGUAGUAUCUGUUCUUAUCAGUUUAAUAUCUGAUACGUGGGCCAUUGGCUCACAUGAUAUUAAAUUUAUUUUUUAAAGGGGAGAGUCCAUCACAGUAGCUUGCUACUGGGGCCCUCGAGCGUCGCUCAAGCGAUGCACUAUAGCUUGGGCCUGGCGCACUCCAC
rnacentral:snRNA from 1 species